rnacentral:lncRNA from 1 species
AGGCUCACUAUUACCAAGCCGACCUCAUGAUGAUACGAUGUUUGGCUAGCAACAAUAAUAAUGAGAGAGUACGCUUACUCAUUUGCAACUAAUGCAAGUACCCAUCUUAUUUGGCCUCUAGAGAAUGUAACCUCACAAUGAUAUGAUGUUGGCUCCAUUGCACUUAGUUAAGUCAUUCCCACCAUGCUUAGUGCGUGAAGGGGUUCAAGAAUAGCCUCACGAUGAUAUGAUGUCGGCCAUCCUCGUUGCCUACACUCACCUCAUCAUAUGUGUAUGGAUUCCUCCUGAGUAUAAGCAUGCACUUUGUACUCCCCCAUGAUAGGGUUAAGCCGGUGUACAAGUCAUAAACGAUUGGAUCCCACCACGGUGGA